AACGCUGGCGGCGUGCUACUACAUGCCUAAGAUCGAACGCUUUUCUUUCACCGAGACUUGUCUCACCGAAAGAAAAGAGUGGCGAACGGGUGAGUAACACGUGGGUAACCUACCCUCGAGCGGGGGAUAACAUUUGGAAACAGGUGCUAAUACCGCAUAAUAACAGAAGAAGCAUUUCUUUUGUUUGAAAGUCGCAAUUGCGACACUCGAGGAUGGACCCGCGGUGCAUUAGCUAGUUGGUGGGGUAACGGCUCACCAAGGCCACGAUGCAUAGCCGACCUGAGAGGGUGAUCGGCCACACUGGGACUGAGACACGGCCCAGACUCCUACGGGAGGCAGCAGUAGGGAAUCUUCGGCAAUGGACGAAAGUCUGACCGAGCAACGCCGCGUGAGUGAAGAAGGUUUUCGGAUCGUAAAACUCUGUUGUUAGAGAAGAACAAGGGUGAGAGUGGAAAGUUCACCCCUUGACGGUAUCUAACCAGAAAGCCACGGCUAACUACGUGCCAGCAGCCGACGGUAAUACAGUAGGUGGCACGCGUUGUCCGGAUUUAUUGGGCGUAAAGCGAGACGCACGGCGGUUCUUUUAAGUCUGAUGUGCAAAGGCCCCCGGCUCAACCGGGGAGGGU
rnacentral:rRNA from 1 species